rnacentral:rRNA from 1 species
UACGGAGGGGGCUAGCGUUAUUCGGAAUUAUUGGGCGUAAAGGGCGUGUAGGCGGCUUCGUGUGUCCCAUGUGAAAGCCCUCGGCUCAACCGGGGAACUGCAUGGGAAACUGCGGAGCUUGAGUCCGGGAGAGGAUAGUGGAAUUCCCAGUGUAGCGGUGAAAUGCGUAGAUAUUGGGAGGAACACCGGUGGCGAAGGCGGCUAUCUGGACCGGUACUGACGCUGAAACGCGAAAGCCAGGGGAGCAAACGGG